rnacentral:lncRNA from 1 species
CUCCUGCCAUGGGGGGGGCGCUCUUUUGGGGAGUAAAAAUUCCUUCACAAAUGUGUUGAUGGCUGGACAUUGCAUCAUCCUAGAAAACUUGGAGGCCAGUGAGGACAAAAAUAAAAAGUUAUAAGACUUUUAAGAAUGUGGAUUUUUGGGUUAUCUUUGGCGCCCCCUAGAACCUAAACCGUGGGGUGCAGCGUCAUGAUUUGUACAACUUUGAAUGGCCAUGGGGUGUAGAUUGGCCUGAGCAAAUUUGGUGCCGGUGGAACGAAAGCCUUCGGAGGAGUUAGCGAAAUUCCAAUGUGUGCGGAUCGGCAAAAAAUGCGAAAUAGCCCUUUAACCGUACAUUAUACAGAUACGCGCUCUUUGACUUUUUCGUAGAUCUUAUUGAGAUACACGUGUGUGUCAAAUUUUGUGUCAAUAUGACAAAGCGUUCAGGCAUGACACUCAACAAUGUGUAUUUUCACCUUAGGGGACAAGAAAAAAUGGACUUUUUUCUCCUGCCAUGGGGGGGCGCUCUUUUGGGGAGUAAAAAUUUCUUCACAAAUGUGUUGAUGGCUGGACAUUGCAUCAUCCUAGAAAACUUGGAGGCCAGUGAGGACAAAAAUAAAAAGUUAUAAGACUUUUAAGACUGUGGAUUUUUGGGUUAUCUUUGGCGCCCCCUAGAAUGUAAACCGUGGGGUGCAGCGUCAUGAUUUGUACAACUUUGAAUGGCCAUGGGGUGUAGAUUGUCCUGAGCAAAUUUGUUGCCGGUGGAACGAAAGCCUUCGGAGGAGUUAGCGAAAUUCCAAUGUGUGCGGAUCGGCAAAAAAUGCGAAAUAGCCCUUUAACCGUACAUUUGACAGAUACGCCCGCACUGACUUUUUUUUAGAUCUUAUUGAGAUACACAUGUGUGUCAAAUUUUGUGUCAUUUUGACAAAGCGUACAGGCGUCAGGUGAGUUUUCACCAUAGGGGGCGCUAUGGAGCCAUUUUUCAUUUUUUUGUUUGGGCGACUUCAGAAUAUCGAAUUUUUCACCAGGCCCGGUCGUCCUGCCAAAUUUCCUGAGUUUUCGCCAGUGGGAAGUGGGCCAUUUUCCAGUUUAAAGCGGAGGAAAAAUAACGAAAGAAGAAUCCAUCAGGAACAAGAGGGCUCUCGCAGCUGCUUAGCAGCUACGCUCGGGCCCUAAUAACAAACUAGGGCCCCGGUGGGGCACUGUCGGGCCCGAGCCGCGUCGCGCCGCCCCCAGUGCGACCGCCUCCCCGUCCCGAUCGAGUCACACUCAAGAACCAAAGAUGGUGUGCGCACUUGUCUGUGGUCAUUUCCCAUUAUAAUGAAUGGGAGGCGCAGUUUCUACCAAAACACUCGCUGCAGACAAACUUCAUGUCCUAUUUGAAAAAAGUCUGGACCAUGAGUGAGGGCACAAACACAGCUAUGAUAUAUCGAAAUGCCAGGUUGCUCCUCCUUACGGUGUUGCCUGGAGAGCGAUGCGAUUGAGCCAUUGAGCGAUGGGCAGGAAAAACUUGACUUUUUCUCCUGCCAUAGGGGGGGAUGUGGAUUCUUUUAAGAAUGUGGAUUUUUGGGUCAUCUUUGGCGCCCCCUAGAACGUAAACCGUGGGGUGCAGCGUCAUGAUUUUUACAACUUUGAAUGGCCAUGGGGUGUAGAUUGGCCUGAGCAAAUUUGGUGUCAGUGGGACGAAAGCCUUAGGAGGAGUUAGCCACAUUCCAAUGUGUGCGAAUCGGCAAAAAAUGCAAAAUAGCCCUUUAACCGUACAUUUGACAGAUACGCGCGAAUUGACUUUUUUGUAGAUCUUAUUGAGAUACAUAUGUGUGUCAAUUUUUGUGUCAAUAUGAUAAAGCGUACAGGCGUGACAGUCAAUAGUGUGAAUUUCCACCUUAGGGGACAAGAAAAAAUGGACUUUUUUCUCCUGCCAUGGGGGGCGCUCUUUUGGGGAGUAAAAAUUCCUUCACAAAUGUGUUGAUGGCUGGACAUUGCAUCAUCCUAGAAAACUUGGAGGCCAGUGAGGACAAAAAUAAAAAGUUAUAAGACUUUUAAAUAUGUGGAUUUUAGGGUUAUCUUUGGCGCCCCCUAGAACCUAAACCGUGGGAUGCAGCGUCAUGAUUUGAAUAACUUUUAAUGGCCAUGGGGUGUAGAUUGGCCUGAGCAAAUGUGGUGCCGGUGGAACGAAAGCCUUCGGAGGAGUUAGCGAAAUUCCAAUGUGUGCGGAUCGGCAAAAAAUGCGGAAUAACCCUUUAACCGUACAUUUGACAGAUACGCGCGCAUUGACUUUUUCGUAGAUCUUAUUGAGAUACAUGUGUGUGUCAAUUUUUGUGUCAUUUUGCCAAAGCGUACAGGUGUUACACUCAACAAUGUGUAUUUUCACCUUAGGGGACAAGAAAAAAUUGACUUUUUUCUCCUGCCAUGGGGGGGCGCUCUUUUGGGGAGUAAAAAUUCCUUCACAAAUGUGUUGAUGGCUGGACAUUGCAUCAUCCUAGAAAACUUGGAGGCCAGUGAGGGCAAAAAUAAAAAGUUAUAAGACUUUUAAAUAUGUGGAUCUUAGGGUUAUCUUUGGCGCCCCCUAGAACCUAAACCUUGGGGUGCAGCGUCAUGAUUUGAAUAACUUUUAAUGGCCAUGGGGUGUAGAUUGGCCUGAGCAAAUGUGGUGCCGGUGGAACGAAAGCCUUCGGAGGAGUUAGCGAAAUUCCAAUGUGUGCGGAUCGGCAAAAAAUGCGAAAUAACCCUUUAACCGUACAUUUUACAGAUACGUGGCCAUUGACUUUUUCGAAGAUCUUAUGUAAAUACACGUGUAUGUAAAAUUUUGUGUCAAUACGACAAAACAUACAGGCGUAGCACUCAACAAUGUGUAUUUUCACCUUAGUGGACAAGAAAAAAUGGACUUUUUUCUCCUGCCAUGGGGGGGCGCUCUUUUGGCGAGUAAAAAUUCCUUCACAAAUGUGUUGAUGGCUGGACAUUGCAUCAUCCUAGAAAACUUGGAGGCCAGUGGGGACAAAAAUAAAAAGUUAUAAGACUUUUAAAUAUGUGGAUUUUACGGUUAUCUUUGGCGCCCCCUAGAACCUAAACCGUGGGGUGCAGCGUCAUGAUUUGAAUAACUUUUAAUGGCCAUGGGGUGUAGAUUGGCCUGAGCAAAUGUGGUGCCGGUGGAACGAAAGCCUUCGGAGGAGUUAGCGAAAUUCCAAUGUGUGCGGAUCGGCAAAAAAUGCGAAAUAACCCUUUAACCGUACAUUUGACAGAUACGCCCGCACUGACUUUUUUGUAGAUCUUAUUGAGAUACAUGUGUGUGUCAAUUUUUGUGUCAUUUUGACAAAGCGUACAGGCGUGACAGUCAAUAGUGUGAAUUUUCACCUUAGGGGGCGCUAUGGAGCCAUUUUGCAUUUUCUUGUUUGGGCGACUUCGGAAUAUCAAAUUUUUCACCAGGCCCGGUCGUCCUGCCAAAUUUCAUGAGUUUUCGCCAGUGGGAAGUGGGCCAUUUUCCAGUUCAAAGGGGAGGAAAAAUAAUACUAGGACCCCGUUGGGGCACUGGCGGGCCCGAGCUGUGUCGCGUCCCCCCCCCAACGCGCUGCCUCCCCGUCCCAUUUGUGUCCUCUGGCCAUCGACCUCUCUGGUAACGCCCAUCUCUGCAAAGACCCUUUUCCUUCAUCGGCGUUUGCUGUUCUUCCUGCCAGUGCGUGUUGCUUUCACUUACACUUGCCACAGCCAGCCUCGUGAGUGCCUAGCCUAUUGGAUAUCACUGUCACCUACACAGGACAGUCAUUACCUUUCUAUUAAUACUUUGUUUUUUAAUUUCACAUUAAUUUCCAUAUUGUAUAAACAACUGGAAAAAACUUGAGCCCCUGCCCCUGUAUAAUCAUGUGCACGUCUUUGUUCUAGCUCUAAGGUGAAUCUUCACUGCUCAUGUUCUCCUCAGAAGCAGUCACCUCACUCCCCUCAGGUUACUGUACACAUGCACCAACUGCCUGCUUCAGGUUUGGAUGGAGCUUCAUGGUUGUCUUUUGGAGAAAUGAGCAGUAAAGUUGUGUUUGAAAUUUGAUUUUUUUCAGGGGCAAAAGGACCCUCUGCAUUCUUGUCAAAUAUGUAAAUAGCAUGUUUUUGCAGGUGCUAAAAACCAGACUCUGAGUGUGUGUGUGUGUGUGUGUGUGUGUGUGUGUCUGUGUGUGUGUGUGUGUGUGUGUGUGUGUGUGUGUGCGUUCAAGUCACAUGACAUAUUUAACCGGAUGUAGCUGCAAGACGGAGCCUCGUUGACUCUCCGUUUCAAUUUAUCUCAAAAGUGAGGACCUCAACCUAUAUACCAGUUUUUAAAUUGUGUUGAUAGGCCAAAUAAAACCAGAGUUAUGAUAAAUUAUGUCCGCGAUACUUUUUUUCUGCUUAUUUUGAUCACGUUCGGCGCUCGAUCGCGCUGUAUGAGACAGGAAAACAUAGCAUGCAGACAUUAGCGACAGGUCUUACAGGCGGAAAAGGCUUGCCAAAGGAAAAAAAAAACACACCACAACAUCUCUCCUAUUGGUGGAAAACUUCACCACAACAACCAAUCCAAAAUUAUAUGGUGACUGAUUGACAAGGGGCGGGAACUUACGUUCUUCCUGCAAUAUGAGAAGGGAGGGAGGGACUCUCAGCAGGGAUGCAGUCUGGGACACGUAGUUGCAAACCUAGCGACUUUGUUGUUAGAUUCAAUGACUUUUCAGACCCCCUAACAACUUUUUUUUAGAAAGAAAGGGACUUUUAUCGACUUCUUCUGGAGUUUAGAGACUCUGACAUGAAGCAGGCUUUCCUUACUGAGGAGUUAGCAACGCUGCUAAGGGUGCAGAGCCACACAUGCGCUCAGAGCUCUGCAUGGGAGACUGAAGCUGACAGAGCUGCAGCAGUUAGCAGGUUUCACCCUCAGAGACCACCAGGGGUUCAUGUUGAGGCAUUUUCAGUUUUUUUUUUUUUUUUUUGCCAUAGACACUGUCAGCACAAUCUGCAGUUACACUAACAAAAAUGCUGCAAAAAACAAAGAAUUAUGGAAAAAUUACACAUGGACUAACAUAGAGGAGGAUCUACACAAGUUUUUUACAUCAUGUUUUACAUCAUGCAUCAUUUACAUCAUGUUUUUUUGUAGUGGCAUAAAUAAAAAGUGACAUUUGUGAGACUAUACAGUGUUUUGUAAAUAAUUUUACAAAGAACACCUGGGCCAUGGCCUGCAUUUUGAUGUCAAUAGAGGUAAAUUACUAUGUUCUUUGUUAAAAAUUUGCAUAUGUUUUGAAGUUUACAAUUUUUAUUUGAAGUUUAAGUUUUAAAAACAGUUCAUCACACAUAUUUGUGGUUUUCACAGUAAAAACGUUACUUUUUUCCACUCGGAUUUUAUGUUUUGUGUGUGAAUUUGGGUCCAAUGUGUAAAUAUAGUAUGUCAAAAUGAUAAAAUAACUGUAAAUUGACACAGGUGAGGUUGUGCUGAAAAAAAUGAUACCAGGCAAGGCAAGGUAAAAAUUUUGUAAGAGGAAAUAUAAAGGUAAAAUCUAAAGUAGUCAAAAACGGCCAAUAGUGACUCACAGACUCCACAGACAAGUCCCUUUGGCGCCACUCAGUGGGCAAAACUACUUUGUCUACUGUAAUGUAUAUUUGGGUCAUCUUUGGCGCCCCCUAAAACGUAAACCGUGGGGUGCAGCGUCAUGAUUUUUACAACUUCGAAUGGCCAUGGAGUGUAGAUUGGCCUGAGCAAAUUUGGUGUCAGUGGGACGAAAGCCUUAGGAGGAGUUAGCGAAAUUCCAAUGUGUGCGAAUCGGCAAAAAAUGCAAAAUAGCCCUUUUACCGUACAUUAUACAGAUACGCGCUCUUUGACUUUUUCGUAGAUCUAAUUGAGAUACACAUGAUUGUCAAUUUUUGUGUCAUUUUGCCAAAGCGUACAGGCGUGACAGUCAACAAUGUGUAUUUUCACCUUAGGGGACAAGAAAAAAUGGACUUUUUUCUCCUGCCAUGGGGGGGCGCUCUUUUGGGGAGUAAAAAUUCCUUCACAAAUGUGUUGAUGGCUGGACAUUGCAUCAUCCUAGAAAACUUGGAGGCCAGUGAGGACAAAAAUAAAAAGUUAUAAGACUUUUAAAAAUGUGGAUUUUUGGGUUAUCUUUGGCGCCCCCUAGAACGUAAACCGUGGGGUGCAGCGUCAUGAUUUGAAUAACUUUUAAUGGCCAUGGGGGGUAGAUUGGCCUGAGCAAAUGUGGUGCUGGUGGAACGAAAGCCUUCGGAGGAGUUAGCGAAAUUCCAAUGUGUGCGGAUCGGCAAAAAAUGCGGAAUAACCCUUUAACCGUACAUUUGACAGAUACGCGCGCAUGGACUUUUUUGUAGAUCUUAUUGAGAUACAUGUGUGUGUCAAUUUUUGUGUCAUUUUGACAAAGCGUACAGGCGUGACACUCAACAAUGUGUAUUUUCACCUUAGGGGACAAGAAAAAAUGGACUUUUUUCUCCUGCCAUGGGGGGGCGCUCUUUUGGCGAGUAAAAAUUCCUUCACAAAUGUGUUGAUGGCUGGACAUUGCAUCAUCCUAGAAAACUUGGAGGCCAGUGAGGGCAAAAAUAAAAAGUUAUAAGACUUUUAAAUAUGUGGAUUUUAGGGUUAUCUUUGGCGCCCCCUAGAACCUAAACCGUGGGGUGCAGCGUCAUGAUUUGAAUAACUUUUAAUGGCCAUGGGGUGUAGAUUGGCCUGAGCAAAUGUGGUGCCGGUGGAACGAAAGCCUUCGGAGGAGUUAGCGAAAUUCCAAUGUGUGUGGAUCGGCAAAAAAUGCGAAAUAGCCCUUUAACCGUACAUUUGACAGAUACGCCCGCACUGACUUUUUUGUAGAUCUUAUUGAGAUACAUGUGUGUGUCAAUUUUUGUGUCAUUUUGACAAAGCGUACAGGCGUGACAGUCAAUAGUGUGAAUUUUCACCUUAGGGGGCGCUAUGGAGCCAUUUUGCAUUUUCUUGUUUGGGCGACUUCGGAAUAUCAAAUUUUUCACCAGGCCCGGUCGUCCUGCCAAAUUUCAUGAGUUUUCGCCAGUGGGAAGUGGGCCAUUUUCCAGUUCAAAGGGGAGGAAAAAGAAAAAAGAAACAAAGAAAAACCACUUGGGGAAUAAUAGGGCUCUCGCAGCUGCUUAGCAGCUACGCUCGGGCCCUAAAUAAUAAUAACAAAAGAAGGAAACUACAGGAACAAGAGGGCUCUCGCAGCUGCUUAGCAGCUACGCUCGGGCCCUAACUAGGGCCCCGUUGGGGCACUGGCGGGCCCGAGCCGUGUCGCGCCGCCCCCAACAUGACCGCCUCUCCCUACCGAUCGCGUCACACUCAAGGUCCAAAGAUGGUGUGCGCACUUGUCUGUGGUCAUUUACAAUUAUAAUGAAUGGGAGGCGCAGUUUCUACCAAAACGCUCGCCGCAGACAAACUACAUGUCCUAUUUGAAAAGGACUGGACCAUGAGUGAGGGCACAAACACAGCUAGGAUAUAUCCAAAUGGCAAGUUGCUCCUCCUUUCGGUUUUGCCGAGAGAGCGAUGUGUUUGAGUCAUUGAGCGAUGGGCAGGAAAAACUUGACUUUUUCUCCUGCCAUGGGGGGGCGCUCUUUUAGGGAGUAAAAAUUCCUUCACAAAUGUGUUGAUGGCUAGACAUUGCAUCAUCCUAGAAAACUUGGAGGCCAGUGAGGACAAAAAUAAAAAGUUAUAAGACUUUUAAGAAUGUGGAUUUUUGGGUUAUCUUUGGCGCCCCCUAGAACAUAAACCGUGGGGUGCAGCGUCAUGAUUUUUACAACUUUGAAUGGCCAUGGGGUGUAGAUUGGCCUGAGUAAAUUUGGUGUCAGUGGAACGAAAGCUUUAGGAGGAGUUAGCCACAUUCCAAUGUGUGCGAAUCGACCAAAAAUGCGAAAUAGCCCUUUAACCGUACAUUUUACAGAUACGCGCCCAUUGACUAUUUCGUAGAUCUUAUUGAGAAACACGUGAUUGUCAAAGUUUGUUUCAAUAUGACAAAGCGUACAGGCGUGACACUCAAUAAUGUGAAUUUUCACCUUAGGGGGGAAGAAAAACUGGACUUUUUUCUCCUGCCAUGGGGGGGCGCUCUUUUGGGGAGUAAAAAUUCCUUCACAAAUGUGUUGAUGGCUAGACAUUGCAUCAUCCUAGAAAACUUGGAGGCCAGUGAGGACAAAAAUAAAAAGUUAUACGACUUUUAAGAAUGUGGAUUUCUGGGUUAUCUUUGGCGCCCCCUAGAACGUAAACCGUGGGAUGCAGCAUCAUGAUUUGUACAACUUUUAAUGGCCAUGGGGUGUAGAUUGGCCUGAGCAAAUUUGGUGCCGGUGGAACGAAAGCCUUCGGAGGAGUUAGCGAAAUUCCAAUGUGUGCGGAUCGGCAAAAAAUGCGAAAUAGCCCUUUAACCGUACAUUUGAGAGAUACGCCCGCACUGACUUUUUUGUAGAUCUUAUUGAGAUACACGUGUGUGUCAAAUUUUGUGUCAUUUUGACAAAGCGUACAGGCGUGACACUCAAUCAUGUGAAUUUUUCACCUUAGGGGGCGCUAUGGAGCCAUUUUGCAUUUGAUUUUUUGGGCGACUUCAGAAUAUCGAAUUUUUCACCAGGCCCGGUCGUCCUGCCAAAUUUCAUGACUUUUCACCAGUGGGAAGUGGGCCAUUUUCCAGUUCAAAGGGGCAGAAAAAUAACUAGGGCCCCGGUGGGGCACUGUCGGGCCCGAGCCGCGUCGCGCCGCCCCCAGCGCGACCGCCUCCCCUUCCCGAUCGCGUCACACUCAAGGUCCAAAGAUGGUGUGCGCACUUGUCUGUGGUCAUUUCCCAUUAUAAUGAAUGGGAGGCGCAGUUUCUACCAAAACGCUCGCUGCAGACAAACUACAUGUCCUAUUUGAAAAAAGUCUGGACCAUGAGUGAGGGCACAAACACAGCUAGUAUAUAUCCAAAUGGCAAGUUGCUCCUCCUUUCGGUUUUGCAGAGAGAGCGAUGCGUUUGAGCCAUUGAGCGAUGGGCAGGAAAAACUUGACUUUUUCUCCUGCCAUGGGGGGGCGCUCUUUUGGGGAGAAAAAAUUCCUUCACAAAUGUGUUGAUGGCUGGACAUUGCAUCAUCCUAGAAAACUUGGAGGCCAGUGAGGACAAAAAUAAAAAGUUAUAAGACUUUUAAAAAUGUGGAUAUUUGGGUCCUCUUUGGCGCCCCCUAGAACGUAAACUGUGGGGUGCAGCGUCAUGAUUUGUACAACUUUGAAUGGCCAUGGGGUGUAGAUUGACCUGAGCAAAUUUGAAGCCGAUGGGACAAAAGAUUUAGGAGGAGUUAGCGAAAUUCCAAUGUGUGCGGAUCGGCAAAAAAUGCGAAAUAACCCUUUAACCGUACAUUUGACAGAUACGCCCGCACUGACUUUUUUGUAGAUCUUAUUGAGAUACAUGUGUGUGUCAAAUUUUGUGUCAUUUUGACAAAGCGUAAAGGCGUGACAGUCAACAAUGUGUAUUUUCGCCUUAGGAGACAAGAAAAAAUGGACUUUUUUCUCCUGCCAUGGGGGGGCGCUCUUUUGGCGAGUAAAAAUUCCUUCACAAAUGUGUUGAUGGCUGGACAUUGCAUCAUCCUAGAGAACUUGGAGGCCAGUGAGGACAAAAAUAAAAAGUUAUAAGACUUUUAAGACUGUGGAUUUUUGGGUUAUCUUUGGCGCCCCCUAGAACGUAAACCGUGGGGUGCAGCGUCAUGAUUUGUACAACUUUUAAUGGCCAUGGGGUGUAGAUUGGCCUCAGCAAAUGUGGUGCCUUUGGAACGAAAGCCUUCGGAGGAGUUAGCGAAAUUCCAAUGUGUGCGGAUCGGCAAAAAAUGCGAAAUAGCCCUUUCACCGUACAUUUGACAGAUACGCCCGCACUGACUUUUUUGUAGAUCUUAUUGAGAUACAUGUGUGUGUCAAUUUUUGUGUCAAUAUGACAAAGCGUAAAGGCGUGACAGUCAAUAGUGUGAAUUUUCGCCUUAGGAGACAAGAAAAAAUGGACUUUUUUCUCCUGCCAUGGGGGGGCGCUCUUUUGGGGAGUAAAAAUUCCUUCAAAAAUGUGUUGAUGGCUGGACAUUGCAUCAUCCUAGAAAACUUGGAGGCCAGUGAGGACAAAAAUAAAAAGUUAUACGACUUUUAAGAAUGUGGAUUUCUGGGUUAUCUUUGGCGCCCCCUAGAACGUAAACCGUGGGAUGCAGCGUCACGAUUUGUACAACUUUUAAUGGCCAUGGGGUGUAGAUUGGCCUGAGCAAAUUUGGUGCCGGUGGAACGAAAGCCUUCGGAGGAGUUAGCGAAAUUCCAAUGUGUGCGGAUCGGCAAAAAAUGCGAAAUAGCCCUUUAACCGUACAUUUGACAGAUACGCCCGCACUGACUUUUUUGUAGAUCUUAUUGAGAUACACGUGUGUGUCAAAUUUUGUGUCAUUUUGACAAAGCGUACAGGCGUGACACUCAAUCAUGUGAAUUUUUCACCUUAGGGGGCGCUAUGGAGCCAUUUUGCAUUUGAUUGUUUGGGCGACUUCAGAAUAUCGAAUUUUUCACCAGGCCCGGUCGUCCUGCCAAAUUUCAUGACUUUUCACCAGUGGGAAGUGGGCCAUUUUCCAGUUCAAAGGGGCAGAAAAAUAAUAAGAAGAAGAAGAAGAAAGAAGAAUCCAUCAGGAAUAAUAGGGCUCUCGCAGCUGCUUAGCAGCUACGCUCGGGCCCUAACUAGGGCCCCGGUGGGGCACUGUCGGGCCCGAGCCGCGUCGCGCCGCCCCCAGCGCGACCGCCUCCCCCUCCCGAUCGCGUCACACUCAAGGUCCAAAGAUGGUGUGCGCACUUGUCUGUGGUCAUUUCCCAUUAUAACGAAUGGGAGGCGCAGUUUCUACCAAAACGCUCGCUGCAGACAAACUACAUGUCCUAUUUGAAAAAAGUCUGGACCAUGAGUGAGGGCACAAACACAGCUAGUAUAUAUCCAAAUGGCAAGUUGCUCCUCCUUUCGGUUUUGCAGAGAGAGCGAUGCGUUUGAGCCAUUGAGCGAUGGGCAGGAAAAACUUGACUUUUUCUCCUGCCAUGGGGGGCGCUCUUUUGGGGAGAAAAAAUUCCUUCACAAAUGUGUUGAUGGCUGGACAUUGCAUCAUCCUAGAAAACUUGGAGGCCAGUGAGGACAAAAAUAAAAAGUUAUAAGACUUUUAAAAAUGUGGAUAUUUGGGUCCUCUUUGGCGCCCCCUAGAACGUAAACUGUGGGGUGCAGCGUCAUGAGUUGUACAACUUUGAAUGGCCAUGGGGUGUAGAUUGACCUGAGCAAAUGUGGUGCCUUUGGAACGAAAGCCUUCGGAGGAGUUAGCGAAAUUCCAAUGUGUGCGGAUCGGCAAAAAAUGCGAAAUAGCCCUUUCACCGUACAUUUGACAGAUACGCCCGCACUGACUUUUUUGUAGAUCUUAUUGAGAUACAUGUGUGUGUCAAUUUUUGUGUCAAUAUGACAAAGCGUAAAGGCGUGACAGUCAAUAGUGUGAAUUUUCGCCUUAGGAGACAAGAAAAAAUGGACUUUUUUCUCCUGCCAUGGGGGGGCGCUCUUUUGGGGAGUAAAAAUUCCUUCACAAAUGUGUUGAUGGCUGGACAUUGCAUCAUCCUAGAAAACUUGGAGGCCAGUGAGGACAAAAAUAAAAAGUUAUACGACUUUUAAGAAUGUGGAUUUCUGGGUUAUCUUUGGCGCCCCCUAGAACGUAAACCGUGGGAUGCAGCGUCAUGAUUUGUACAACUUUUAAUGGCCAUGGGGUGUAGAUUGGCCUGAGCAAAUUUGGUGCCGGUGGAACGAAAGCCUUAGGAGGAGUUAGCGAAAUUCCAAUGUGUGCGGAUCGGCAAAAAAUGCGAAAUAGCCCUUUAACCGUACAUUUGACAGAUACGCCCGCACUGACUUUUUUGUAGAUCUUAUUGAGAUACACGUGUGUGUCAAAUUUUGUGUCAUUUUGACAAAGCGUACAGGCGUGACACUCAAUCAUGUGAAUUUUUCACCUUAGGGGGCGCUAUGGAGCCAUUUUGCAUUUGAUUUUUUGGGCGACUUCAGAAUAUCGAAUUUUUCACCAGGCCCGGUCGUCCUGCCAAAUUUCAUGACUUUUCACCAGUGGGAAGUGGGCCAUUUUCCAGUUCAAAGGGGCAGAAAAAUAAUAAGAAGAAGAAGAAGAAAGAAGAAUCCAUCAGGAAUAAUAGGGCUCUCGCAGCUGCUUAGCAGCUACGCUCGGGCCCUAAAUAGCCCUUUAACCGUACAUUUGACAGAUACGUGCGCGCAGACUUUUUUGUAGAUCUUAUUGAGAUACACGUGUGUGUCAAAUUUUAUGUCAAUAUGACAAAGCGUAUAGGCGUGACACUCAACAAUAUGUAUUUUCACCUUAGGGGACAAGAAAAAAUGGACUUUUUUCUCCUGCCAUGGGGGGGCGCUCUUUUGGCGAGUAAAAAUUCCUUCACAAAUGUGUUGAUGGCUGGUCAUUGCAUCAUCCUAGAAAACUUGGAGGCCAGUGAGGGCAAAAAUAAAAAGUUAUUAGACUUUUAAGAAUGUGGAUUUUUGGGUUAUCUUUGGCGCCCCCUAGAACGUAAACCGUGGGGUGCAGCGUCAUGAUUUGUACAACUUUUAAUGGCCAUGGGGUGUAGAUUGGCCUGAGCAAAUGUGGUGUCGGUGGAACGAAAGCCUUCGGAGGAGUUAGCGAAAUUCCACUGUGUGCGGAUCGGCAAAAAAUGCGAAAUAGCCCUUUAACCGUACAUUUGACAGAUACGCCCGCGCUGACUUUUUUGUAGAUCUUAUUGAGAUACACGUGUGUGUCAAAUUUUGUGUCAUUUUGACAAAGCGUACAGGUGUGACACUCAAUCAUGUGAAUUUUUCACCUUAGGGGGCGCUAUGGAGCCAUUUUGCAUUUGAUUGUUUGGGCGACUUCAGAAUAUCGAAUUUUUCACCAGGCCCGGUCGUCCUGCCAAAUUUCAUGAGUUUUCACCAGUGGGAAGUGGGCCAUUUUCCAGUUCAAAGGGGCAGAAAAAUAAUAAUAAGAAGAAGAAAGAAGAAUCCAUCAGGAAUAAUAGGGCUCUCGCAGCUGCUUAGCAGCUACGCUCGGGCCCUAAUAAGAAGAAGAAGAAGACUAGGGCCCCGUUGGGGCACUGGCGGGCCCGAGCCGUGUCGCGCUGCCCCCCCCAACGCGCUGCCUCCCCGUCCCAUUCGCGUCCUCUGGCCAUCGCCCUCUCUGGUAACGCCCAUCACUGCAAAGACUCUUUCCUUCAUCGGCGUUUGCUGUUCUUCCUGCCAGUGCGUGUUGCUUUCACUUACACUUGCCACAGCCAGCCUCGUGAGUGCCUAGCCUAUUGGAUAUCACUGUCAUCUACACAGGACAGUCAUAACCUUUCUAUUAAUACUUGUUUUUUAAUUUCACAUUAAUUUCAAUAUUGUAUAAAUGACUGGAAAAAACUUGAGCCCCUGCCCCUGUAUAAUCAUGUGCACGUCCCUGUUCUAGCUCCAAGGUGAAUCUUCACUGCUCAUGUUCUCCUCAGAAGUAGUCACCUCACUUUCCUCAGGUGACUGUACACAUGCACCAACUGCCUGCUUCAGGUUUGGAUGGAGCUUCAUGGUUGUCUUUUGGAGAAAUGAGCAGUCAAGUUGUGUUUGAAAUUAGAUUUUUUUCAGGGGCAAAAAGGGGCCUCUGCAUUCUAGUCAAAUAUGUAAAUAGCAUGUUUUUGCAGGUGCUAAAAAAAAGACUCUGAGUGUGUGUGUGUAUAUCCUGCAGUACUCUGAGAAGAAUAAUAAGCAUAUUUCUGAGGUGAAUUUUGAAGAUUCAUCUGAGAGUUAGGAGGGCUGAUCAUUCCCUUACCCUUUAGAUGUCUGUCUAUGUCUGUUUUUGUGUGAUAAUGAAAGAAUCCCAACUCAAAAAGGCUCUGUUGAUGUUUUUUUUUUGUUGUUGUUCAUUCAUAUUCAAACCACUAUUUUAUAUCACUGCUAAUACGCCAAGACCUUUUUAUGGAAUUUAGCUUUAUUAUUUCUAUACAUUUUGCAAGGAAAGAAACCAAGGCCUUCACUAAAAUUUCCAUAAACUUUAGGAAAGGACCUCUGGUUGUUUAACGGGGUCAUUACUGCAAAAACAUAUUCUUCCUAAAUUUUGAAGGUCAAAGCUUAGAUCCAUUAGGUUUAAAUAGAAAAAGCAUUAAAAUAUGUUAGGAUUAUAGCAUAUGACAAAUAUGUGCCUUUCAGUGGCCACAACUACUUUGUCUGCUGGCUCUGCAGUCGAUUGACGCUCCCCAGCGUUCAAGUCACAUUACAUAUUUAACCGGAUGUAGCAGCAAGACGGAGCCUCGUUGACUCUCCGUUUCAACUUAUCUCAAAAGUGAGGACCUCAAACUAUACGCCAGUUUGCAAAUUGUGUUGAUAGGCCAAAUAAAACCAGAGUUAUGAUAAAUUAUGUCCGCGAUACUUUUUUUCUGCUUAUUUUGAUCACGUUCGGCGCUCGAUCGCGCUGUAUGAGACAGGAAAACAUAGCAUGCAGACAUUAGCGACAGGUCUUGCAGGCGGAAAAGGCUUGCCAAAGAAAAAGAAAAACACACCACAACAUCUCUCCUAUUGGUGGAAAACUUCACCACAACAACCAAUCCAAAAUUAUAUGGUGACUGAUUGACAAGGGGCGGGCGCUUACGUUCUUCCUGCAACAUGAGAAGGGAGGGAGGAACUCUCAGCAGGGAUGCAGUCUGGGACACGUAGUUGCAAACCUAGCGACUUUGUUGUUAGAUUCAAUGACUUUUCAGACCCCCUAACGACUUUUUUUUAGAAAGAAAGGGACUUUUAUCGACUUCUUCUGGAGUUUAGAGACUCUGACAUGAAGCAGGCUUUCCUUACUGAGGAGUUAGCAACGCUGCUAAGGGUGCAGAGCCACACAUGCGCUCCGAGCUCUGCAUGGGAGACUAAAGCUGACAGAGCUGCAGCAGUUAGCAGGUUUCACCCUCAGAGACCACCAGGGGUUCAUGUUGAGGCAUUUUCAGUUUUUUUUUUUUUUUUGCCAUAGACACUGUCAGCACAAUCUGCAGUUACACUAACAAAAAUGCUGCAAAAAACAAAGAAUUAUGGAAAAAUUACACAUGGACUAACAUAGAGGAGGAUCUACACAAGUUUUUUACAUCAUGUUUUACAUCAUGCAUCAUUUACAUCAUGUUUUUUUGUAGUGGCAUAAAUAAAAAGUGACAUUUGUGAGACUAUACAGUGUUUUGUAAAUAAUUUUACAAAGAACGCCUGGGCCAUUGCCUGCAUUUUGAUGUAAAUAGAGGUAAAUUACUAUGUUCUUUGUUAAAAAUUUGCAUAUGUUUUGAAGUUUACAAUUUUUAUUUGAAGUUUAAGUUUUAAAAACAGUUCAUCACACAUAUUUGUGGUUUAAUUUCACAUUAAUUUCCAUAUUGUAUAAAUGACUGGAAAAAACUUGAGCCCCUGCCCCUGUAUAAUCAUGUGCACGUCCCUGUUCUAGCUCCAAGGUGAAUCUUCACUGCUUAUGUUCUCCUCAGAAAUAGUCACCUCACUCUCCUCAGGUUACUGUACACAUGCACCAACUAUCUGCUUCAGGUUUGAAAUGGAGCUUCAUGGUUGUCUUUUGGAGAAAUGAACAGUCAAGUUGUGUUUGAAAUUUGAUUUUUUUCAGGGGCAAAAGGAAGCCUCUGCAUUCUUGUCAAAUAUGUAAACAGCAUGUUUUUGCAGGUGCUUAAAAACAGACUCUGAGUGUGUGUGUGUGUGUGUGUGUGUGUGUGUGUGUGUGUGUGUGUGUGUGUGUGUGUGUGUGUAUGUUGGCGUGUGUGUAUAUGUGUGUGUAUCCUGCAGUACUCUGUACUCCUGCAGUGGCCAAAAAGACUUUUAAGAAUGUGGAUUUUUGGGUCAUCUUUGGCGCCCCCUAGAACUGCAGUACUCUGUACUCCUGCAGUGGCCAAAAUGACUUUUAAGAAUGUGGAUUUUUGGGUCAUCUUUGGCGCCCCCUAGAACGUAAACCGUGGGGUGCAGCGUCAUGAUUUUUACAACUUUGAAUGGGCAUGGGGUGUAGAUUGCCCUGAGCAAAUUUGGUAUCGGUGGGACGAAAGCCUUAGGAGGAGAUAGCCACAUUCCAAUGUGUGCGAAUCGGCAAAAAAUGCAAAAUAGCCCUUUAACCGUACAUUAUACAGAUACGCGCUCUUUGACUUUUUCGUAGAUCUAAUUGAGAUACACAUGAUUGUCAAUUUUUUUGUCAAUAUGACAAAGCGUAAAGGCGUGACACUCAACAACGUGUAUUUUCACCUUUCGGGAUAAGAAAAAAUGGACUUUUUUCUCCUGCCAUGGGGGGGCGCUCUUUUGGGGAGUAAAAAUUUCUUCACAAAUGUGUUGAUGGCUGGACAUUGCAUCAUCCUAAAAAACUUGGAGGCCAGUAUGGAAAAAAAUAAAAAGUUAUAACACUUUUAAGAAUGUGGAUUUUUGGGUUAUAUUUGGUGCCCCCUAGAACCCAAACCGUGGGGUGCAGCAAGAUGAUUUGUACAACUUUUAAUGGCCAUGGGGUGUAGAUUGGCCUGAGCAAAUUUGGUGCCGGUGGAAAGAUAGCCUUCGGAGGAGUUAGUGAAAUUCCAAUGUGUGCGGAUCAGCAAAAAAUGCAAAAUAGCCCUUUAACCGUACAUUUGACAGAUACAUGCCCUUUGACUUUUUCGUAGAUCUUAUUGAGAUACACGUGAUUGUCAAAUUUUGUGUCAAUAUGACAAAGCAUACAGGCGUGACACUCGACAAUGUGUAUUUUGACCUUUGGAGACAAGAAAAAAUGGACCUUUUUCUCCUGCCAUUGGGGGGCGCUCUUUUGGGGAGUAAAAAUUCCUUCACAAAUGUGUUGAUGGCUGGACAUUGCAUCAUCCUAGAAAACUUGGAGGCCAGUGAGGACAAAAGUAAAACGUUAUAACACUUUUAAGAAUGUGGAUUUUUGGGUUAUCUUUGGCGCCCCCUAGAACAUAAACCGUGGGGUGCAGCGUCAUGAUUUGUACAACUUUUAAUGGCCAUGGGGUGUAGAUUGGCCUGCGCAAAUGUGGUGCCGGUCGAACGAAAGCCUUCGGAGGAGUUAGCGAAAUUCCAAUGUGUGCAGAUCUGCAAAAAAUGAAAAAUAACCCAUUAACCGUACAUUUGACAGAUACGCCCACACUGACUUUUUUGUAGAUCUUAUUGAGAUACACGUGUGUGUCAAUUUUUGUGUCAAUAUGACAAAGCGUACAGCCGUCAUGUGAAUUUUCACCUUAGGGGGCGCUAUGGAGCCAUUUUGCAUUUUAUUGUUUGGGCGACUUCAGAAUAUCGAAUUUUUCACCAGGCCCGGUCGUCCUGCCAAAUUUCCUGAGUUUUCGCCAGUGGGAAGUGGGCCAUUUUCCAGUUUAAAGCGGAGGAAAAAUAAUAACGAAAGAAGGAAACAUGCAGGAACAAGAGGGCUCUCGCAGCUGCUUAGCAGCUACGCUCGUGCCCUAAAGAACUAGGACCCCGUUGGGGCACUGGCGGGCCCGAGCCGUGUCGUGUCUCCCCCCCCCAACGUGCUGCCUCCCCGUCCCAUUUGUGUCCUCUGGCCAUCGCCCUCUCUGUUAACGGCCAUCACUGCAAAGACCCUUUUCCUUCAUCGGCGUUUGCUGUUCUUCCUGCCAGUGCGUGUUGCUUUCACUUACACUUGCCACAGCCAGCCUCGUGAGUGCCUAGCCUAUUGGAUAUCACUGUCACCUACACAGGACAGUCAUUACCUUUCUAUUAAUACUUUGUGUUUUAAUUUCACAUUAAUUUCCAUAUUGUAUAAACGACUGGAAAAAACUUGAGCCCCUGCCCCUGUAUAAUCAUGUGCAUGUCUCUGUUCUAGCUCCAAGGUGAAUCUUCACUGCUCAUGUUCUCCUCAGAAGCACUCACCUCACUCCCCUCAGGUUACUGUACACAUGCACCAACUGCCUGCUUCAGGUUUGGAUGGAGCUUCAUGGUUGUCUUUUGGAGAAAUGACCAGUCAAGUUGUGUUUGAAAUUUGAUUUUUUUCAGGGGCAAAAGGAGCCUCUGCAUUCUUGUCAAAUAUGUAAAUAGCAUGUUUUUGCAGGUGCUAAAAACCAGACUCUGAGUGUGUGUGUGUGUGUGUGUGUGUGUGUGUGUGUGUGUGUGUGUGUGUGUGUGUGUGUGUGUCUAUGUGUGCGUUCAAGUCACAUGACAUAUUUAACCGGAUGUAGCUGCAAGACGGAGCCUCGUUGACUCUCCGUUUCAACUUAUCUCAAAAGUGAGGACCUCAACCUAUAUACCAGUUUUUAAAUUGUGUUGAUAGGCCAAAUAAAACCAGAGUUAUGAUAAAUUAUGUCCGCGAUACUUUUUUUCUGCUUAUUUUGAUCACGUUCGGCGCUCGAUCGCGCUGUAUGAGACAGGAAAACAUAGCAUGCAGACAUUAGCGACAGGUCUUACAGGCGGAAAAGGCUUGCCAAAAGAAAAAAAAAACACACCACAACAUCUCUCCUAUUGGUGGAAAACUUCACCACAACAACCAAUCCAAAAUUAUAUGGUGACUGAUUGACAAGGGGCGGGCGCUUACGUUCUUCCUGCAACAUGAGAAGGGAGGGAGGGACUCUCAGCAGGGAUGCAGUCUGGGACACGUAGUUGCAAACCUAGCGACUUUGUUGUUAGAUUCAAUGACUUUUCAGACACCCUAACGACUUUUUUUUAGAAAGAAAGGGACUUUUAUCGACUUCUUCUGGAGUUUAGAGACUCUGACAUGAAGCAGGCUUUCCUUACUGAGGAGUUAGCAACGCUGCUAAGGGUGCAGAGCCACACAUGCGCUCAGAGCUCUGCAUGGGAGACUGAAGCUGACAGAGCUGCAGCAGUUAGCAGGUUUCACCCUCAGAGACCACCAGGGGUUCAUGUUGAGGCAUUUUAAUUUUUUUUUUUUUUGUGCCAUAGACACUGUCAGCACAAUCUGCAGUUACACUAACAAAAAUGCUGCAAAAAACAAAGAAUUAUGGAAAAAUUACACAUGGACUGACAUAGAGGAGGAUCUACACAAGUUUUUUACAUCAUGUUUUACAUCAUGCAUCAUUUACAUCAUGUUUUUUUGUAGUGGCAUAAAUAAAAAGUGACAUUUGUGAGACUAUACAGUGUUUUGUAAAUAAUUUUACAAAGAACGCCUGGGCCAUUGCCUGCAUUUUGAUGUAAAUAGAGGUAAAUUACUAUGUUCUUUGUUAAAAAUUUGCAUAUGUUUUGAAGUUUACAAUUUUUAUUUGAAGUUUAAGUUUUAAAAACAGUUCAUCACACAUAUUUGUGGUUUAAUUUCACAUUAAUUUCCAUAUUGUAUAAAUGACUGGAAAAAACUUGAGCCCCUGCCCCUGUAUAAUCAUGUGCACGUCCCUGUUCUAGCUCCAAGGUGAAUCUUCACUGCUCAUGUUCUCCUCAGAAAUAGUCACCUCACUCCCCUCAGGUUACUGUACACAUGCACCAACUAUCUGCUUCAGGUUUGAAAUGGAGCUUCAUGGUUGUCUUUUGGAGAAAUGAACAGUCAAGUUGUGUUUGAAAUUUGAUUUUUUUCAGGGGCAAAAGGAAGCCUCUGCAUUCUUGUCAAAUAUGUAAACAGCAUGUUUUUGCAGGUGCUAAAAAACAGACUCUGAGUGUGUGUGUGUGUCUGUGUGUGUGUGUGUGUGUGUGUGUGUGUGUGUGUGUGUGUAUGUUGGCGUGUGUGUAUAUGUGUGUGUAUCCUGCAGUACUCUGUACUCCUGCAGUGGCCAAAAAGACUUUUAAGAAUGUGGAUUUUUGGGUCAUCUUUGGCGCCCCCUAGAACUGCAGUACUCUGUACUCCUGCAGUGGCCAAAAUGACUUUUAAGAAUGUGGAUUUUUGGGUCAUCUUUGGCGCCCCCUAGAACGUAAACCGUGGGGUGCAGCGUCAUGAUUUUUACAACUUUGAAUGGGCAUGGGGUGUAGAUUGCCCUGAGCAAAUUUGGUAUCGGUGGGACGAAAGCCUUAGGAGGAGAUAGCCACAUUCCAAUGUGUGCGAAUCGGCAAAAAAUGCAAAAUAGCCCUUUAACCGUACAUUAAACAGAUACGCGCUCUUUGACUUUUUCGUAGAUCUAAUUGAGAUACACAUGAUUGUCAAUUUUUGUGUCAAUAUGACAAAGCGUUCAGGCGUGACACUCAACAAUGUGUAUUUUUAUGUAAGGGGACAAGAAAAAAUUGACUUUUUUCUCCUACCAUGGGGAGGCGCUCUUUUGGGGAGUAAAAAUUCCUUCACAAAUGUGUUGAUGGCUGGACAUUGCAUCAUCCUAGAAAACUUGGAGGCCAGUGAGGACAAAAAUAAAAAGUUAUAAAACAUUUAAGAAUGUGGAUUUUUGGGUUAUCUUUGGCGCCCCCUAGAACCUAAACCAUGGGGUGCAGCAUCAUGAUUUGAAUAACUUUUAAUGGCCAUGGGGUGUAGAUUGGCCUGAGCAAAUGUGGUGCCGGUAGACAGAAAGCCUUCGGAGGAGUUAGCGAAAUUCCAAUGUGUGCGUAUCGGCAAAAAAUGCGGAAUAACCCUUUAACUGUACAUUUGACAGAUACGCGCGCAUGGACUUUUUUGUAGAUCUUAUUGAGUUACAUGUGUGUGUCAAUUUUUGUGUCAUUUUGACAAAGCGUAUAGGCGUGACACUCAACAAUGUGUAUUUUCACCUUAGGGGACAAGAAAAAAUGGACUUUUUUCUCCUGCCAUGGGGGGGCGCUCUUUUGGGGAGUAAAAAUUCCUUCACAAAUGUGUUGAUGGCUGGACAUUGCAUCAUCCUAGAAAACUUGGAGGCCAGUGAGGGCAAAAAUAAAAAGUUAUAAGACUUUUAAAUAUGUGGAUCUUAGGGUUAUCUUUGGCGCCCCCUAGAACCUAAACAGUGGGGUGCAGCGUCAUGAUUUGAAUAACUUUUAAUGGCCAUGGGGUGUAGAUUGGCCUGAGCAAAUGUGGUGCCGGUGGAACGAAAGCCUUCGGAGGAGUUAGCGAAAUUCCAAUGUGUGCGGAUCGGCAAAAAAUGCGAAAUAACCCUUUAACCGUACAUUUGACAGAUACGCCCGCACUGACUUUUUUGUAGAUCUUAUUGAGAUACAUGUGUGUGUCAAUUUUUGUGUCAUUUUGACAAAGCGUACAGGCGUGACAGUCAAUAGUGUGAAUUUUCACCUUAGGGGGCGCUAUGGAGCCAUUUUGCAUUUUCUUGUUUGGGCGACUUCGGAAUAUCAAAUUUUUCACCAGGCCCGGUCGUCCUGCCAAAUUUCAUGAGUUUUCGCCAGUGGGAAGUGGGCCAUUUUCCAGUUCAAAGGGGAGGAAAAAGAAGAAACUAGGACCCCGGUGGGGCACUGUCGGGCCCGAGCCGCGUUGCGCCGCCCCCAGCGCGACCACCUCCCCCUCCCGAUCGCGUCACACAUAAGGUCCAAAGAUGGUGUGCGCACUUGUCUGUGGUCAUUUCCCAUUAUAAUGAAUGGGAGGCGCAGUUUCUACCAAAACACUCGCUGCAGACAAACUACAAGUCCUAUUUGAAAAAAGUCUGGACCAUGAGUGAGGGCACAAACACAGCUAGGAUAUAUCCAAACGGCAAGUUGCUCCUCGUUACGGUGUUGCCGGGAGAGUGAUGCGAUUGAGCCAUUGAGUGAUGGGCAGGAAAAACUUGACUGUUUCUCCUGCCAUGGGGGAUGGGGGAUGGGGGGGGAUGUGGAUUCUUUUAAGAAUGUGGAUAUUUGGGUCAUCUUUGGCGCCUCCUAGAACGUAAACCGUGGGGUGCAGCGUCAUGAUUUUUACAACUUUGAAUGGCCAUGGGGUGUAGAUUGGCAUGAGCAAAUUUGGUGUCAGUGGGACGAAAGCCUUAGGAGGAGUUAGCCACAUUCCAAUGUGUGCGAAUCGGUAAAAAAUGCAAAAUAGCCCUUUAACCGUACAUUUUACAGAUACGCGCGCAUUGACUUUUUCGUAGAUCUUAUUGAGAUACAUGUGAUUGUCAAAUUUUGUGUCAAUAUGACAAAGCGUACAGGUAUGACAGUCAACAAUGUGUUUUUUCACCUUAUGGGACAAGAAAAAAUGGACUUUUUUCUCCUGCCAUGGGGGGCGCUCUUUUGGGGAGUAAAAAUUCCUUCACAAAUGUGUUGAUGGCUGGACAUUGCAUCAUCCUAGAAAACUUGGAGGCCAGUGAGGACAAAAAUAAAAAGUUAUAAGACUUUUAAAUAUGUGGAUUUUAGGGUUAUCUUUGGCGCCCCCUAGAACCUAAACCGUGGGGUGCAGCGUCAUGAUUUGAAUAACUUUUAAUGGCCAUGGGGUGUAGAUUGGCCUGAGCAAAUGUGGUGCCGGUGGAAUGCCAGCCUUCGGAGGAGUUAGCGAAAUUCCAAUGUGUGCGUAUCGGCAAAAAAUGCAAAAUAGCCCUUUAACCGUACAUUUGACAGAUACGCGAGUAAGACUUUUUUGUAGAUCUUAUUGAGAUACAUGUGUGUGUCAAUUUUUGUGUCAUUUUGCCAAAGCGUACAGGCGUGACACUCAACAAUGUGUAUUUUCACCUUAGGGGACAAGAAAAAAUGGACUUUUUUCUCCUGCCAUGGGGGGGCGCUCUUUUGGGGAGUAAAAAUUCCUUCACAAAUGUGUUGAUGGCUGGACAUUGCAUCAUCCUAGAAAACUUGGAGGCCAGUGAGGACAAAAAUAAAAAGUUAUAAGACUUUUAAAUAUGUGGAUCUUAGGGUUAUCUUUGGCGCCCCCUAGAACCUAAACCGUGGGGUGCAGCGUCAUGAUUUGAAUAACUUUUAAUGGCCAUGGGGUGUAGAUUGGCCUGAGCAAAUGUGGUGCCGGUGGAACGAAAGCCUUCGGAGGAGUUAGCGAAAUUCCAAUGUGUGCGGAUCGGCAAAAAAUGCGAAAUAACCCUUUAACCGUACAUUUGACAGAUACGCCCGCACUGACUUUUUUGUAGAUCUUAUUGAGAUACAUAUGUGUGUCAAUUUUUGUGUCAUUUUGACAAAGCGUACACGCGUGACAGUCAAUAGUGUGAAUUUUCACCUUAGGGGGCGCUAUGGAGCCAUUUUGCAUUUUCUUGUUUGGGCGACUUCGGAAUAUCAAAUUUUUCACCAGGCCCGGUCGUCCUGCCAAAUUUCAUGAGUUUUCGCCAGUGGGAAGUGGGCCAUUUUCCAGUUCAAAGGGGAGGAAAAAUAAUAACUAGGGCCCCGUUGGGGCACUGGCGGGCCCGAGCCGUGUCACGCCGCCCCCAGCGCGACCGCCUCCCCCACCCGAUCGCGUCACACUCAAGGUCCAAAGAUGGUGUGCGCACUUGUUUGUGGUCAUUUACCAUUAUAAUGAACGGGAGGCGCAGUUUCUACCAAAACGCUCGCUGCAGAAAAACUCCAUGUCCUAUUUGAAAAAAGUCUGGACCAUGAGUGAGGGCACAAACACAGCUAAGAUAUAUCCAAAUGGCAAGUUGCUCCUCCUUUUGCUUUUGCCGAGAGAGCAGUGCGUUUGAGCCAUUGAAUGAUGAACAGGAAAAACUUGACUUUAUUCUCCUGCCAUGGGGGGGCGCUCUUUUAAAGAGAAAAAACUCCUUCACAAAUGUGUUGAUGGCUGGACAUUGCAUCAUCCUAGAAAACAUGGAGGCCAGUGAGGACAAAAAUAAAAAGUUAUAAGACUUUUAAAUAUGUGGAUUUUAGCGUUAUAUUUGGCGCCCCCUAGAACCUAAACCGUGGGGUGCAGCGUCAUGAUUUGAAUAGCUUUUAAUGGCCAUGGGGUGUAGAUUGGCCUGAGCAAAUGUGGUGCCGGUGGAACGAAAGCCUUCGGAGGAAUUAGCGAAAUUCCAAUGUGUGCGAAUCUGCAAAAAAUGCGAAAUAACCCUUUAACCGUACAUUUUACAGAUACGUGGCCAUUGACUUUUUCGAAGAUCUUAUUGAAAUACACGUGUAUGUAAAAUUUUGUGUCAAUACGACAAAACAUACAGGCGUAGCACUCAACAAUGUGUAUUUUCACCUUAGUGGACAAGAAAAAAUGGACUUUUUUCUCCUGCCAUGGGGGGCGCUCUUUUGGCGAGUAAAAAUUCCUUCACAAAUGUGUUGAUGGCUGGACAUUGCAUCAUCCUAGAAAACUUGGAGGCCAGUGGGGACAAAAAUAAAAAGUUAUAAGACUUUUAAAUAUGUGGAUUUUACGGUUAUCUUUGGCUCCCCCUAGAACCUAAACCGUGGGGUGCAGCGUCAUGAUUUGAAUAACUUUUAAUGGCCAUGGGGUGUAGAUUGGCCUGAGCAAAUGUGGUGCCGGUGGAACGAAAGCCUUCGGAGGAGUUAGCGAAAUUCCAAUGUGUGCGGAUCGGCAAAAAAUGCGGAAUAACCCUUUAACCGUACAUUUGACAGAUACGCGCGCAUUGACUUUUUCGUAGAUCUUAUUGAGAUACAUGUGUGUGUCAAUUUUUGUGUCAUUUUGCCAAAGCGUACAGGUGUUACACUCAACAAUGUGUAUUUUCACCUUAGGGGACAAGAAAAAAUGGACUUUUUUCUCCUGCCAUGGGGGGGCGCUCUUUUGGGGAGUAAAAAUUCCUUCACAAAUGUGUUGAUGGCUGGACAUUGCAUCAUCCUAGAAAACUUGGAGGCCAGUGAGGGCAAAAAUAAAAAGUUAUAAGACUUUUAAAUAUGUGGAUCUUAGGGUUGUCUUUGGCGCCCCCUAGAAUCUAAACCGUGGGGUGCAGCGUCAUGAUUUGAAUAACUUUUAAUGGCCAUGGGGUGUAGAUUGGCCUGAGCAAAUGUGGUGCCGGUGGAACGAAAGCCUUCGGAGGAGUUAGCGAAAUUCCAAUGUGUGCGGAUCGGCAAAAAAUGCGAAAUAACCCUUUAACCGUACAUUUGACAGAUACGCCCGCACUGACUUUUUUGUAGAUCUUAUUGAGAUACAUGUGUGUGUCAAUUUUUGUGUCAUUUUGACAAAGCGUACAGGCGUGACAGUGAAUAGUGUGAAUUUUCACCUUAGGGGGCGCUAUGGAGCCAUUUUGCAUUUUCUUGUUUGGGCGACUUCGGAAUAUCAAAUUUUUCACCAGGCCCGGUCGUCCUGCCAAAUUUCAUGAGUUUUCGCCAGUGGGAAGUGGGCCAUUUUCCAGUUCAAAGGGGAGGAAAAAUAAUAAUAACAAACUAGGGCCCCGGUGGGGCACUGUCGGGCCCGAGCCGCGUUGCGCCGCCCCCAGCGCGACCGCCUCCCCCUCCCGAUCGCGUCACACUCAAGGUCCAAAGAUGGUAUGCGCACUUGUCUGUGGUCAUUUCCCAUUAAAAUGAAUGGGAGGCGCAGUUUCUACCAAAACACUUGCUGCAGACAAACUACAUGUCCUAUUUGAAAAAAGUCUGGACCAUGAGUGAGGGCACAAACACAGCUAGGAUAUAUCCAAACGGCAAGUUGUUCCUCGUUACGGUAUUGUUGACAAAUAUGACAGUCAACAAUGUGUAUUUUCACCUUAGGGGACAAGAAAAAAUGGACUUUUUUCUCCUGCCAUGGGGGGGCGCUCUUUUGGGGAGUAAAAAUUCCUUCACAAAUGUGUUGAUGGCUGGACAUUGCAUCAUCCUAGAAAACUUGGAGGCCAGUGAGGACAAAAAUAAAAAGUUAUAAGACUUUAUAAAUAUGUGGAUUUUAGGGUUAUCUUUGGCGCCCCCUAGAACCUAAACCGUGGGGUGCAGCGUCAUGAUUUGAAUAACUUUUAAUGGCCAUGGGGUGUAGAUUGGCCUGAGCAAAUGUGGUGCUAGUGGAACGAAAGCCUUAGGAGGAGUUAGCGAAAUUCCAAUGUGUGCGGAUCGGCAAAAAAUGCGGAAUAACCCUUUAACCGUACAUUUGACAGAUACGCGCGCAUUGACUUUUUUGUAGAU